rfam:Triticum aestivum genome assembly, contig: Triticum_aestivum_CS42_TGACv1_scaffold_032653_1BL
CAAGUACUCCCUAUGUCCGGAAUUACUUGUCAUCAAAUGGAUGUGUCUAGAACUAAAAUACAUCUAGAUACAUCCAUUUCAAUGACAAGUAUUUCCGGACAGAGGGAGUACAAU